GCUGUUGUCUGGUUUCCAGAGGAGGCUGUCCAGGACAGGAAGUGUGUACUGCACGUACUUACCUGUCAGCUCCAUAACUGUGGUCUCCCUGGGAGACACCAGCUCGGCCCAGCCUCCUCCUCCUGCUCCCAUCAUGCACCUGGGUGAGUGGGCUCUGAGCAGCAAGCAGAGGUGCGCUGUGGGACAGGUCAAAGGU